UACGAAGGGGCUAGCGUUGCUCGGAAUCACUGGGCGUAAAGCGCACGUAGGCGGAUUGCUAAGUCAGGGAUGAAAUCCUGGAGCUCAACUCCAGAACUGCCCUUGAUACUGGCGGUCUCGAGUCCGGGAGAGGUGAGUGGAACUGCGAGUGUAGAGGUGAAAUUCGUAGAUAUUCGCAAGAACACCAGUGGCGAAGGCGGCUCACUGGCCCGGUACUGACGCUGAGGCGCGAAAGC
rnacentral:rRNA from 1 species